rnacentral:rRNA from 1 species
UACGUAGGGUGCAAGCGUUGUCCGGAAUUAUUGGGCGUAAAGAGCUCGUAGGCGGUUCGUCGCGUCGGCUGUGAAAUCCCGAGGCUCAACCUCGGGUCUGCAGUCGAUACGGGCGGACUGGAGUUCGGCAGGGGAGACUGGAAUUCCUGGUGUAGCGGUGAAAUGCGCAGAUAUCAGGAGGAACACCUAUUGCGAAGGCAGGUCUCUGGGCCACUACUGACGCUGAGAAGCCAAAGCAUGGGGAGCGAACAGG